CUGGUCCUCGAACGGGGGCACGUGCACGCUCUGUUUACACAUCCACUCACACCUGUGCACCCUCUGUAGUUCUGUGGCUUGUGGGGCCCCAUCCCCCACUGCCGUGGUUCUACGUCUUUACACACACACUGUAAUAAAGUCUCAUGGAAUGUAUCUCGCGUUUAACGCAAUACAAUACAACUUUCAGCAACGGAUCUCUUGGCUCUCGCAUCGAUGAAGAACGCAGCGAAAUGCGAUAAGUAAUGUGAAUUGCAGAAUUCAGUGAAUCAUCGAAUCUUUGAACGCACCUUGCGCCCUUUGGCUAUUCCGAAGGGCAUGCCUGUUUGAGUAUCAUGAACACCUCAACUCUCAUGGUUCGCCGUGAUGAGCUUGGACUUUGGGGGUCUUGCCGGCCUGUGGUCUGCUCCCCUUAAACGAAUCAGCUUGCCAGUGUUCGGUGGCGUCACAGGUGUGAUAACUAUCUACGCUUGUGGUUUUCCACCGGGUAACCUUCAGCGAUGGAGGCACUCUGGAGCUCAUAAACGUCUCUCCUGGGUGAGGACAGUCUUUG
rnacentral:rRNA from 1 species